UGGGGAAUAUUGGACAAUGGGCGAAAGCCUGAUCCAGCCAUGCCGCGUGUGUGAAGAAGGUCUUCGGAUUGUAAAGCACUUUAAGUUGGGAGGAAGGGUUGUAGAUUAAUACUCUGCAAUUUUGACGUUACCGACAGAAUAAGCACCGGCUAACUCUGUGCCAGCAGCCGCGGUAAUACAGAGGGUGCAAGCGUUAAUCGGAAUUACUGGGCGUAAAGCGCGCGUAGGUGGUUUGUUAAGUUGGAUGUGAAAUCCCCGGGCUCAACCUGGGAACUGCAUCCAAAACUGGCAAGCUAGAGUAUGGUAGAGGGUGGUGGAAUUUCCUGUGUAGCGGUGAAAUGCGUAGAUAUAGGAAGGAACACCAGUGGCGAAGGCGACCACCUGGACUGAUACUGACGCUGAGGUACGAAAGCGUGGGGAGCAAACAGGAUUAGAUACCCUAGUAGUCCCUGAGCGGGCUGGCAAGGCGCAU
rnacentral:rRNA from 1 species